rnacentral:lncRNA from 1 species
UCAGGUUUGGAGAAUACUAAUGCUCUUAAGUGCUUUAGUAGUAAUUGUCGUACCAGUGCAGAUUGCAAAUAUGAAUGUCGUGCCCGUAAUUGUGGCAUUAAAUAUGACUGCAAUGUCAAUCGAAGGGAAUGCUGUUGUGAUGCUUGUAGUCCAAAUUAAUAAAGAGGAAUAUACAGAACAUCAAAUUGACAACUUUUCAGGAAAUGCGCGUUAACAUGGAUAUUAAAAUAGUGCAUCAGUCGACG